AUAAGGAAGUAUUAAAUUAUCCAAGUCCAUAUCUAAUAUGGAGAUUUGGUAACCGAUUUGCUCAAAAUGUUCUUAAGCAUAUAUCAAGUAAUCUCUAAAAUAUAACCUCAGACAGACCAGCAAACCUCACAGUAGAUCGAACCAUGUCUAACAAAGUUUGAUUCCUCUUUUCAGACAUCUUUUUUAAACAAUAAUGUCCCAGGAGAGGUCCAUUAAAGGAGAAUCAAAUUCUCUUCAAGACAUGUCAAAAAUUUAUUGUAAAGAUAUUCACUUCAUCAGUCUAACUGAUGAGUUCUAAUACUCUUUGUAGUUUAUUUUUCUAUUUCAUUAUAGAAUCGUUUGAAUAUUUCAACCGAUUCAGACUUGUGCUUCAUAAGCAAGAUGCACCCAUGCCCAGAU
rnacentral:lncRNA from 1 species